rnacentral:rRNA from 1 species
GUGGGGAAUAUUGGACAAUGGGCGAAAGCCUGAUCCAGCCAUGCCGCGUGUGUGAAGAAGGUCUUCGGAUUGUAAAGCACUUUAAGUUGGGAGGAAGGGCAGUAAGUUAAUACCUUGCUGUUUUGACGUUACCGACAGAAUAAGCACCGGCUAACUUCGUGCCAGCAGCCGCGGUAAUACGUAGGGUGCAAGCGUUAAUCGGAAUUACUGGGCGUAAAGCGCGCGUAGGUGGUUUUGUAAGUUGGAGGUGAAAUCCCCGGGCUCAACCUGGGAACUGCCUCCAAAACUGCAUGACUAGAGUACGGUAGAGGGUAGUGGAAUUUCCUGUGUAGCGGUGAAAUGCGUAGAUAUAGGAAGGAACACCAGUGGCGAAGGCGACUACCUGGACUGAUACUGACACUGAGGUGCGAAAGCGUGGGGAGCAAACAGGAUUAGAUACCCGUGUAGUCC